CGUGCCGCCGCGCCACCUCGCGCACGCGCGGGCCCUGCGCGCCGCGCUCGGCGUCACCCUCGACCACCUCGACACUCCGAUGGCAGUGGACGACUUCGAGCUGGAGCUGCCGGAGGGAAGAGAGGUGCGGGAGGUGCGGGAAGGACGUGACGCCUCCGACCCUGACUCCCGACACUCCGCCUCCAGCCAAUAGAUAUAUAUAAGUAAUAAAUGAUAUAAUAGUU